AUUGAACGCUGGCGGCAUGCCUUACACAUGCAAGUCGAACGGCAGCGCGGGAGCAAUCCUGGCGGCGAGUGGCGAACGGGUGAGUAAUACAUCGGAACGUGCCCAAUCGUGGGGGAUAACGCAGCGAAAGCUGUGCUAAUACCGCAUACGAUCUACGGAUGAAAGCAGGGGAUCGCAAGACCUUGCGCGAAUGGAGCGGCCGAUGGCAGAUUAGGUAGUUGGUGAGGUAAAGGCUCACCAAGCCUUCGAUCUGUAGCUGGUCUAGAGAGGACGACCAGCCACACUGGGACUGA
rnacentral:rRNA from 1 species